CAGACAGAGGAAGAGUAGAAGACAAGACACUGAGGAAGAUGUAGAGAACCCAGGGGAUUUUAAAAAGGUUCCACAUUCUGCAAAAGAACAAUGAUCUCAGUCUUUGUUUCUAUGAACUAUUAAUUAUUAAGAGAUGGAUGAAUAAACCAUCGAAGCUCAUAGUUCAGAGUUUUUUAUCGUAACAAAUGAAUCUGUUUUCUGAGUUUAAUUCUCCUGUUUCUUCAUACGGGCCACUGUAAAACCUGAAGAUGGAUACUCAGCUGUGUGAGCCACUCAUUAAUCAACAUGUUGUCAAUAGUCUGUCUGCUCCCACUUAUUCUGCUGGUUCCCCCACUGGGGAUAUGAUGGGAAGUCCAGCUGACCUGCAGCAGAAAGAGAAAAAGGCUUUUUUCCUUCAUCUCCUCUGUUAAACUGGUGGAUUUCUCUGCUGAUGAAGGAAGGACCCACAGGUGUCGGCUUGAAUGAACUCAAGAGGAAACUGUUGAUCUCUGACCCCCAGCACUUCGGAGUGACCAUCCCACACACCAGUCGGCCCAAAAGGAACCAAGAGAGCGACGGUGUGGAGUACCACUUCAUCUCCAAACAUCUCUUUGAGACGGACGUCCACAACAACAAGUAUGCAGACCUGUGAGGGGCUCAGAGAUAAA